rnacentral:rRNA from 1 species
CACAUGCAAGUCGAACGGCAGCAUAGAGAGCUUGCUCUCUGAUGGCGAGUGGCGAACGGGUGAGUAAUAUAUCGGAACGUACCUAGUAAUGGGGAAUAACUAGCUGAAAGGUUAGCUAAUGCCGCAUACGACCUACGGGUGAAAGCAGGGGAUCUUCGGACCUUGCGUUAUUAGAGCGGCCGAUAUCUGAUUAGCUUGUUGGUGGGGUAAUGGCCUACCAAGGCAACGAUCAGUAGCUGGUCUGAGAGGACGAUCAGCCACACUGGAACUGAGACACGGUCCAGACUCCUACGGGAGGCAGCAGUGGGGAAUUUUGGACAAUGGGGGCAACCCUGAUCCAGCCAUUCCGCGUGAGUGAAGAAGGCCUUCGGGUUGUAAAGCUCUUUCGCAAGAGAAGAAAACUUGCUAUCUAAUAAAUAGUAAGCA